UGUUUUUAAAUAGAGACUCCCUUCCCAAAAUGUUUUAAUUGAGACACAUUAAGACAUUUUGAGAGUGAUAUCAUUUAAAAACAUCCAAACAUUUUAAUAAUUAUAUUUUUAAAGGAAGACACAAACAUUCAGAUGUGCAAUGUGGAUGGUCUAAAGACCUUAUAGUGUAUUUCGAUUUUAAUCAGAAUCUCAAACUAGUAUGUACUUUUUUUUUUUAGUGUGUCAAUACUUGAUUUCAUUCAUUCAAAGACAAAUGAAAAACAUAGUACAAGGAUUCAAAUAUCCAAAGUU
rnacentral:sRNA from 1 species